GUGAAAAGUGCAUAAUAUUAUAUUAAGAUUCAAACCGGUUGGGUUUAUCUAUCUAUCUACUGGUUGGGUUUCAAUAGAUGUCGUUGCAGUCGUAUAUCUCCAGCGCUACCAAUUGUGUCAUACCAUAUAGUGUUGGAAAGGGAAGAAUGCCACGGAAGUGCCCAAUGGAAUUUGUAAAGUUUACGGAGACGAUGCUGUAUUAGCUCGGGUAGCACAACAAUGGUUCUCUCGCUUCCGUUCUGGAAAUUUCGAUGUGAAGGAUGCACCUCGCUGGUCGACCUAUCGUUGAAAAAGUAGAUGAAA